UACGAAGGGGGCUAGCGUUGCUCGGAUUGACUGGGCGUAAAGGGCGCGUAGGCGGAUAGUACAGUCAGGCGUGAAAUUCCUGGGCUCAACCUGGGGGCUGCGUUGAUACGUUGUUGUCUGGAGUUCGGAAGAGGGUCGUGGAAUUCCCAGUGUAGAGGUGAAAUUCGUAGAUAUUGGGAAGAACACCGGUGGCGAAGGCGGCGACCUGGUCCGAUACUGACGCUGAGGCGCGAAAAGCGUGGGGGAGCAA
rnacentral:rRNA from 1 species